ensembl:lncRNA
AAGAUUGCGCUCCCUAGCUUGGCAGGAAAAGUUUUUUGGGUUUUUUUUUUUUUUUUUUUGGCUUUUCUGUGCAUCCUACGGAGGGUCCCCAUCAUCCCCGCGGGGCGCACAGGAGUUGUGAAAAGUACCGCACAACUGGCCUCCGGAAUAAUUCAUCCCCUCCACCUUCUCUUUAGCGCCUCCCACUUCUUCUCUUUUUAUAGCAGUUUCUUUCUCUCGAAAAAUCUCAGGUUACUUGACUGGGAGUUCUCAGACCUCCAGUUUCAGCCCUGCCCUCAGCCUCCAGUCGUUGAGAGAGAGACACCCAGCCCCAGCAAUCGGAUUGGGCAGCCCGCCUUGACACACCACUGUGCUGAGUGCUUGAAGACGUGUUUCACCAGAUGGUUGGGGUUAGCGUGUGUCAUCACAUUCGAGUGGGGAUUAGGAGUAGGAAGGCUGCCUUGCCGGAGCUGUGUGGUCUUCUCCAAGGGAGAAUUGCGGGCAAGAGAACUCCUUUGCUCCGGGGAGAAGAGGAGGAAUUCGUUUUCCGCAGCCAAGAGAAAAGCAGUGUUUUCAGGUGCUGACGGCCAGCCCCAUCAUCUGAGGGAGGUGAAUUUGGCAAAUGACAUGCAGGUUCUCCAAGACAGAGUAAUCACAGAAAAUUGUCAAAGGUUGAGAUCUGCUGCGGCAAAGCCAAACCUCGGUGCUGGCAGCACUGCCCCGGGUCUGGACAGUAGUGAGGCUGGCGCUGACAGUCAGAGGAGGGCUCUGUCCCCUUCGGCACUGAUGCACUGGGGAUGCAGGCUCGACCGAGGGACAAGCCCAGCCCGGAGGAAGCACCUCUUCCCCUGGUGAUUGAUGGAGGACAGUUAGGAGCUCUCCAGAGGCUGGGGAAGGUUGCCCUCUCAGCCACUUACUCUGAAGUCUUUGUCAGCAGAAAGAACUCUCCUGGGUAGUGAGUGACAUCAUGCAGAUGACAAAUGACAGCUUUGCGUUUCGUUCUGCUUGAUGAGUACUCAGUACCGCAUGCAG